rnacentral:rRNA from 1 species
GGAGUUAGCCGGUGCUUCUUCUGCGAGUAACGUCACAGAUGUAAGGUAUUAACUUACACCCUUUCCUCCUCGCUGAAAGUGCUUUACAACCCGAAGGCCUUCUUCACACACGCGGCAUGGCUGCAUCAGGGUUUCCCCCAUUGUGCAAUAUUCCCCACUGCUGCCUCCCGUAGGAGUCUGGGCCGUGUCUCAGUCCCAGUGUGGCUGAUCAUCCUCUCAGACCAGCUAGGGAUCGUCGCCUAGGUGAGCCUUUACCUCACCUACUAGCUAAUCCCACCUGGGCUUAUCCAUCAGCGCAAGGCCCGAAGGUCCCCUGCUUUCCCCCGUAGGGCGUAUGCGGUAUUAGCAGUCGUUUCCAACUGUUAUCCCCCACAAAUGGGCAAAUUCCCAGGCAUUACUCACCCGUCCGCCGCUCGUCAUCUUCAAAAGCAAGCUUUUGAAAUGUUACCGCUCGACUUGCAUGUGUUAGGCCUGCCGCCAGCGUUCAAUACUGAGCCAUGAUCAAACUACUGA